UACGUAGGGUGCGAGCGUUGUCCGGAAUUACUGGGCGUAAAGAGCUCGUAGGUGGUUUGUCGCGUUGUUCGUGAAAACUCACAGCUUAACUGUGGGCGUGCGGGCGAUACGGGCAGACUGGAGUACUGCAGGGGAGACUGGAAUUCCUGGUGUAGCGGUGGAAUGCGCAGAUAUCAGGAGGAGCACCGGUGGCGAAGGCGGGUCUCUGGGCCGAUACUGACGCUGAGGAGCGAAAGCGUGGGGAGCGAACAGG
rnacentral:rRNA from 1 species